CCUACGGGUGGCAGCAGUGAGGAAUAUUGCUCAAUGGGCGCGAGCCUGAACCAGCCAAGUAGCGUGAAGGAUGACUGCCCUACGGGUUGUAAACUUCUUUUAUAAAGGAAUAAAGUGAGGCACGUGUGCCUUUUUGUCUGUAUUUUAUGAAUAAGGAUCGGCUAACUCCGUGCCAGCAGCCGCGGUAAUCCGGAGGAUCCGAGCGUUAUCCGGAUUGAGUGGGUGUAAAGGGAGCGUAGAUGGGUUGUUAAGUCAGUUGUGAAAGUUUGCGGCUCAACCGUAAAAUUGCAAUUGAUACUGGCAGUCUUGAGUACAGUAGAGGUAGGCGGAAUUCGUGGUGUAGCGGUGAAAUGCUUAGAUAUCACGAAGAACUCCGAUUGCGAAGGCAGCCUACUAAACUGCCACUGACACUGAUGCACGAAAGUGUGGGUAUCAAACAGGAUUAGAUACCCGUGUAGUC
rnacentral:rRNA from 1 species